CACUUUUUUCAUUAAAAAAAUCGUUUUUUCAUUGUUAAGCCAAAGACUUUUCAGCCCAUGUAGUACAUUGGGCGACUGCUACUAUUGCGUAAGCGGAUGUCCCGAGCCGUGGUCCGAUCACACAAAAUGCUGCAUAGAAAUGGGUCUAGCUAUGAUCAAAGCGAUCAAACAAUUCGACAUCGAAAGAAGAGAAGGUGUGAAUGAGAAUAGGUGUGCAUACGGGCACCGUGCUCUGCAGGAUCGUGGGUACGAAAUGAUUCAAGUUCAAUGUCUGGUCGAACGAUGUGACAUUGGCGAAUAAAUUUGAGAGCGGGAAACGGGAAAAUCCGGUCGUGUACACUUGAAUGAGAAUACCCUAAGAUUUCUGGAUGACCACAUCAUGGAAUAUAUUUUUUCAAUAUAUUUUAUGUAAUAUGAUUUUUCUUUUACCUAUUAUAUAAAAAUAAUAUAUUUUAAUAAGAAUCAUAUAACUUCUAGAUGCUGUUACAUAUAUUGUUAAUAUAAUUUAAUAAAGUAUAAUAAUGAACAAUA